rnacentral:rRNA from 1 species
CGCGCAGGCGGUCUCUUAAGUCAGAUGUGAAAGCCCGGGGCUUAACCCCGGAAGUGCAUUUGAAACUAAGGGACUUGAGUAUGGGAGAGGGAAGUGGAAUUCCUGGUGUAGAGGUGAAAUUCGUAGAUAUCAGGAGGAACACCGGUGGCGAAGGCGACUUCCUGGACCAAUACUGACGCUGAGGCGCGAAGGCGUGGGGAGCAAACA